ACGAGUUAGAACAAUCACGUACACAUGACAAAACACAAAUGGUUCUCUUUCACCCAGUUAUUUCAUCUUCCUGAGACAUAUAACUCACAGACAUUUAUAAAAUUCCAAAUAUAAGAUGGCAAUGACAGAGUGACUAAUUACAUUGAUUCAUGUGAGGCGAUGAGGAAUCUUCUGGUGAACAAAGAUGACAUUUAACAUUGGCAGAAAAUGACCAACUGAAUGAAACCACAUCAGACAAGGAUAUAAAAGUGGAAUUUUAGAGGAAUUUGGAAGUUAUUUAAUAAAUAUGAUAUACCCUACAUCACAAAAUGGCAGAGAUUUAUGCUAUUAUUUUUCAUCAGGUUAUCAAAGGAGGAGUUGGGUGGAUUGAAGGACCACCAGGUUAGAGCAGCUGAGUUAAUAAGUCAAUUAAGGAAUUCUAUAACUCCAUUUUCACUGAAAUAAAAAUUUUCUGGUGUGACUGUCUAUCAAGACCACCUGCUUGGGAAACUAGAUGUAUCAGAUAGAUACUUGUGCUGGUUGAGAUGGGCCAAAGGUCCGAUUCAGCAGGACACUGCUUCUUUUAUUAGUUGCCUUUCUACAUUUAUGUCAUUUCAUUUUCAAAAAUAUGAACAUAUUUGACUGAAUAAGAAGGAGUACUACAUUUUCAGCUUGGCAAAUAUUUUAUACAUCUCACUCAACCAAUAUAAAGUCAGGGCUAUAAGUUCAAAAGAAAUUUAUUUUCCCCAAAACAAUUAAGCAGUUAAAAAUUAAUCUGAAAAUAUUAAAACCCUGGAUUAUAGCGAAUUCUAUCUUUCAACUGGCAGAAUAGCACCUAUCAGAACAGAAGCCCAAUAUAGGCUUUAUCAGCUUGCAUAUUCUCAAAACUAUUCCAGAGGGCUGCCAAUAUAUGAAAGCACUGUAAGAGGCUAGAUUGUUCAUUAGAUGUUCCACUUUAAUAGACGUUUGUUGGAAAAUUGCAGUUUUUCUACUUUUCAAAAUGCAAUUGUGGAUAAUGUAUAGCUUUCAAAAACUUAAUCUGGGAAAAUGAUUACAUUUCUCCCCAAUCUCCCAAAUAAUUUAAUGGUUAAAUUUUCUGGAUUUUUAAAGAUAUUUAUAUUGUCUUUAAUUUAUGUUUAGGUUUACACAGACAAGAAUAAAGAAAAAGAACUGAACAGAAACUACUGAAUCAAAAAAGAGGACUGUUUUCAAGGUAGAACAACGUAUAAAAAGUAAUAUUGUCUAGGAGGAAAAAACACCCACAUCAAAAUUGCGUGGGCAAUUGCUUCUAACUUAAACUACGGUUGUUACCAUUCAAGAGAGCAGUGAAAGGUUGCUUCCAAGUGCUACUUCCAAGAAGACUUUGGUCUUAUCUAAUUUUUAAUGAACCUUGCAAAGGAAUCUUACAUAAACUGCAGCUAAAGACUUGCUUGGCUUUGGUGUGGUAAUAAAAGAGAAGAAAUUUUUAUAACUUGUGUCUAGAAUUCUGAAUGCUGCAUUAAAUCCUAGAAAUCCAAAAAACCCUGGGACACUGACCAAAAUUCUCUUUAUGCUUUCUGUGUACAAAAGCUCCUGAUAGCUCAGAAAGCAUUCUGGGGAAAAAGUUAUCAUUAGUUACAUUCUGAUCUUCUUUAGGAAGAAUGUGUGAGUUAGACAAAUGGGUGAGUUACUCAAAUGUACAAACAUAGUUCUUUUGCAAGAUAAUUUAACUGAGGUUUUUACAUAUUAUGUAUGUUGUGAGAUUAUAAUUCAAAUUGUACUUCAUCUGUUUAUACUAAGGGCAUGUUGAUUUAAUUGUUAUAAGAGGAAAUGAACUGAUUAUCAUAAAGUAUUUUGGAGCAAAGAAAUGUGAUGAAAAGUAUUUAAAAGAUAUUUAGAAAUACAUUUGUUUUAAAGCAUCUGUUCCAUUUUCAAGAUGCACAGAAGACUUAAGCCUUGUAAAUAUAUAGCUAACAAAGCUAAAUUUUUGGCAUACAUUUUUACUGUGAACUCACAAUCUCAUAAUCUCACAAUUCAUUAUUUCUCAUUUUGUACUUCUGGUUUACCUUGUUCCUAAAUAAUUUGGCUAUACAAUAAACACGUAUUGAUCAAUUCAUAUUUACUAAAUUUCUUAACAGCUCUUUUAAAUGCAAGUCUAAUAUUAAUCUUCUGCUAUACAAUUCUGAUUAUUUAUGUAAUUAUUUACAAGCAUGAUUUUCUGUUUAGGCAGAGGAAGGAAACGUAUGAAGAAAAUAGCAAGAAUUACCAAACUGUUCCCACUGUAAAUAGAGCUUGGAACCAUCUUGAAAAUAUAUUAAAUACAUUUAAAGAUUGCUUUUAAACAGAAUUGAUAUAUUUUUGCAUGAAACGUUCUUAUAUUUUAACUUCAGGUGUAAUCUGAUAUAUAAAAUAUGAGGCCAUGGCAAUCAGUGCUUCACUAACAUUGGUCCACAGAACAAAUCCUUACUGGUCUCCUUUUCACAGUUCAUUAAAUUUAUAGAAUAAAUAGUGCAGCCAUGAUCUUAUUAAAAACUAAUAUGGACACCCUAUUAUGUAGCAUGUGAAGGAAUAAGCACUUCAGGUUUUUGUAUUUAGAUUUAUGAAAUAAAUAUAUGAAUAUUUAUUUAAUAUAAUUGAUAUUACAGUUACUAAUCACAGAUAUAUGCUAGAAAUUUUAUCUCAGUAUUGUCAUCCAAGAGUAACUAGUGCUUGUAAAAUAUUUAUGGAAGUUUUAUCUGUGCUCUAAGUACAAUUAUGAAGGAAGGGUAUGUACUAGAUCAGAAAUUCAUAACUAACAUUUGUGGGGGUAAAAGAUCAUAUGAUUUCUUACACUGUUAAUAAACAGCAUUUUCAGUUAUACUUUAGAAUGCAAAUAAAUCAAUCUGUGAAGUAAAGCUUCUUAAAGUUGCUUUAUGCAUUAUGUUUUAUUAUUCUAAGAACAAAAUAUAACCGUAGAAAAUACAGGAUACUUUCUAUUUCAGUGGUAUGAAUUUAAAAUAUUCCAGCAUUUUGCUAGAUAGAUUUACUUAUUUUCAAUAGUACUUUGAGUUUUUGUAAACUGCAAAUGAAACAGCUUGCCAUGUUAUUUUUAUUCACUAAUAUUUACUUCAUGAAAUAGAAAAAUACGUCAGGAAGAAAAGUGAUCUUGUAAUAAUUCCAUGUCAUGUUGGCUUAUGAAAGGGCCGAUUCAAAGUACUCAAUAUUUUGCUGAAAAUUAAGACAUUGUUGGAAAAGUGUAGUGACUGACAUAUCAUUUAGGCGAAAGUGAUUCUUGAUAUCUCCAUUCAGUAAGUCAAGGCUCAGUAACAAUUUCUGAAAUCAUUUACUGACACUGAAUAGAUAUAGUGAAAGCUGUUGAUGAAUGUGGCACAUUUUCUGACUGAAGAGGGUAUACUAUCACAAGCUACUGAUUUUAACAGAAAGGCCAAGGACUGAAAGAGCCAUGGAGACCAAUCUCUCU